CUGCAAAGCAUAGGUAACUGGUUGUUUCCUGUCUCCCUCGCUGCAGAAUUGCACUGUUCCCUGGUCUUCACCCACCUCAGUCCAACAGAAUCGCAUUUGGCAACUCCCAAGCAAAAAGUCCAAACUCCUCUUGGAAGGGAAGUAAAAAGAAAAGGGACAAGAAGUAACAGUAAAAAAAUACAGUAAAAGCACUCUUCAAAGUCCUGUGUCUUCUGGCCUUUGAAAAUGACUUUCUUUCCUGGUGAUCUGUUACUUAGUUUAACCUUCCAAGGACAGGCUGCCUUGGUGAUGUGCCAGUGGCAGACACUUCCUUACUGAGACCGUCAAGAAGUGCAUCAUUCUGCAGGUGCAAUAGCUAUAUCUUGG